AAAUAUUCCUGUACCGAUGUGUAGUGCGAUGUGGGGACGGAGAAGGUUAGCUCAGCCAACUGUUGGAUAUGUUGGUUCAAGCCUGUAGUCGUGCCUGGUAGGUAAAUCCGCCGGGCUUAGAUGAGGGGUGAUAACGAGGCUGCUUGCAGUCGAAGUGAGUGAUACCCUGCUUCCAGGAAAAGCCACUAAGCUUCAGCUACACACGACCGUACCGCAAACCGACACUGGUGCGCGAGAUGAGUAUUCUAAGGCGCUUGAGAGAACUCAGGAGAAGGAAUUCGGCAAAUUGACACCGUAACUUCGGAAGAAGGUGUGCCUUUAGUAGGUGAACCUGUACAAGGGGAGCCCAAUGAGGUUGCAAAAAAUCGGUGGCUGCGACUGUUUAAUAAAAACACAGCACUCUGCAAACACGAAAGUGGACGUAUAGGGUGUGACGCCUGCCCGGUGCUGGAAGAUUAAAUGAUGGGGUGCAAGCUCUUGAUUGAAGUCCCAGUAAACGGCGGCCGUAACAAUAACGGUCCUAAGGUAGCGAAAUUCCUUGUCGGGUAAGUUCCGACCUGCACGAAUGGCGUAACGAUGGCCACACUGUCUCCUCCUGAGACUCAGCGAAGUUGAAAUGUUUGUGAUGAUGCAAUCCCCGCGGAAAGACGGAAAGACCCCAUGAACCUUUACUGUAGCUUUGUAUUGGACUUUGAACAGAUCUGUGUAGGAUAGGUGGGAGGCUUUGAAGUGUGGUCGCUAGAUCGCAUGGAGCCAACGUUGAAAUACCACCCUGGUGUGUUUGAGGUUCUAACCUAGGCCCGUAAUCCGGGUCGGGGACAGUGCAUGGUAGGCAGUUUGACUGGGGCGGUCUCCUCCCAAAGCGUAACGGAGGAGUUCGAAGGUACGCUAGGUACGGUCGGACAUCGUGCUAAUAGUGCAAUGGCAUAAGCGUGCUUAACUGCGAGACUGACAAGUCGAGCAGAUGCGAAAGCAGGACAUAGUGAUCCGGUGGUUCUGUAUGGAAGGGCCAUCGCUCAACGGAUAAAAGGUACUCUGGGGAUAACAGGCUGAUACCGCCCAAGAGUUCAUAUCGACGGCGGUGUUUGGCACCUCGAUGUCGGCUCAUCUCAUCCUGGGGCUGUAGCCGGUCCCAAGGGUAUGGCUGUUCGCCAUUUAAAGAGGUACGUGAGCUGGGUUUAAAACGUCGUGAGACAGUUUGGUCCCUAUCUUCCGUGGGCGCUGCAGAUUUGAGGAAGCCUGCUCCUAGUACGAGAGGACCGGAGUGGACACACCUCUGGUGUAUCGGUUGUCACGCCAGUGGCAUUGCCGAGUAGCUAUGUGUGGAAGAGAUAACCGCUGAAAGCAUCUAAGCGGGAAACUCGUUUCAAGAUGAGAUCUGCCGGGGCCUUGAGCCCCCUAAAGAGUCGUUCAAGACCAGGACGUUGAUAGGUCGGGUGUGGAAGCGCAGUAAUGCGUUAAGCUAACCGAUACUAAUUGCUCGUGCGGCUUGAUC
rnacentral:rRNA from 1 species